rnacentral:rRNA from 1 species
AUUGAACGCUGGCGGCAGGCCUAACACAUGCAAGUCGAGCGAGCGGCGGACGGGUGAGGAAUGUCUGGGAAACUGCCUGAUGGAGGGGGAUAACUACUGGAAACGGUAGCUAAUACGGCAUACCAUAAGAUGUGCCCAGAUGCGAUUAGCUAGUAGGUCGGGUAACGGCUCAACUAGGCGACGAUCCCUAGCUGGUCUGAGAGUAUGACCAGCCACACUAGAACUGAGACACGGUCCAGACUCCUACGUGAGGCAGCAGUGGGGAAUAUUGCACAAUGGGCGCAAGCCUGAUGCAGCCAUGCCGCGUGUGGGAAGAAGGCCUUCGGGUUGUAAAGCUCUUUAAGCGGGGAGGCGUUACCCGCAGAAGAAGCACCGGCUAACUACGUGCCAGCAGCCGCGGUAAUAC